AGUCUGGUGCCAGCAGCCGCGGUAAUUCCAGCUCCAAUAGCGUAUAUUAAAGUUGUUGCAGUUAAAAAGCUCGUAGUUGGAUUUCGGGGCUCCUUAUGUAAUAGUCAUGCGGUGGACACUUGCUUGUUGCUUUAGGGGGGUGUUUUUUUGGGGCAACCCGAGGACACCACCCGGCGGCAGGGGAAAGGCCACUGCGGGCGGGGCCCAUUUAUAUUUCUCGAAGACGUCACGGGCCCUUAACUGGUGUACUGUGGUCGCGGAUUCGAGACGUUUACUUUGAAAAAAUUAGAGUGUUCAAAGCAGGCAAUCAAAAACGCUUGAAUACAUUAGCAUGGAAUAAUGGAAUAGGACUUUGGUCUUAUUUUGUUGGUUUCUAGGACUGAAGUAAUGAUUAAUAGGGACAGUUGGGGGCAUUCGUAUUUAAUUGUCAGAGGUGAAAUUUUUGGAUUUAUGAAAGACGAACUUCUGCGAAAGCAUUUGCCAAGGAUGUUUUCAUUAAUCAAGAACGAAAGUUAGGGGAUCGAAGACGAUUAGAUACCGUCGUAGUCCUAACCAUAAACUAUGCCGACUAGGGAUCAGUGGGGAACAAAUCAAAAAACUCCAUUGGCACCUUAUAAGAAAUCAAAGUUUUUGGGUUCUGGGGAAAGUACCAACGCAAGUUGGAAACUUAAAGGAAUUGACGGAAGGGCACACCAGGCGUGGAAUCUGCGGCUUAAUUUGACUCAACACGGGGAAACUCACCAGGUCCAGACAAAAUAAGGAUUGACAGAUUGAGAGCUCUUUCUUGAUUUUUUGGGCAGUGGUGCAUGGCCGUUCUUAGUUGGUGGAGCGAUCUGUCUGGUUAAUUCCGAUAACAAACGAGACCUUAACCUGCUAAAUAGCGACGUCAUUCCUUGUGAAGGACGGAUUUUGACUUCUUAGAGGGACUAUCGGUGACUAACCGAUGGAAGUUUGAGGCAAUAACAGGUCUGUGAUGCCCUUAGAUGUUCUGGGCCGCACGCGCGUUACACUGACAGAGGCAGCGAGUUUUUUUAAAUAUCCUGGCCUGGAAAGGUUUGGGUAAUCUUGUGAAUCUCUGUCGUGAUGGGGAUAGAUCUUUGUAAUUAUCGAUCUUCAACGAGGAAUGCCUUGUAAUCGCGGUUCAUCAAAUCGCGUUGACUACGUCCCUGCCCUUUGUACACACCGCCCGUCGCUACUACCGAUUGAAUGGUUUAGUGAGGUCUCGGGACUGGCGCGGCUUGGCUGUAAAAGGCCGAUCCAUGCUGGGAACUUGCCCAAACUUGAUCAUUUAGAGGAAGUAAAAGUC
rnacentral:rRNA from 1 species